rnacentral:lncRNA from 1 species
CUCAAAGGAUUGUGAACCCUAAGGAACACCAUGUUCUAUCUAUCCAUUAAAAUCAUUAUUUUCUACGUAAUAUGUAAAGGUUUGUGAUAUGGUGAAGACCCUAAUUAUACAAGGAUCUUCAGAAAUCUUAUUGCUACAACCACACAAAUUAACCAAGCAAGCAAGGAAGUAUGAAACACCGACAUAUAAAAAGUUGUACAUCAAUUCCAUAAGAAACAAAAAUCGUCUUGUACAAUGUCAUGCAAAAUAUUCUUAUCUUGCCUAGACUGUGGCUUGGUCAUCAUUCUAUGGGGUCUUCUCCUCCUCAAUGUCUUUCGACUGCUGCCCUUCAGUAUCCUCAUUAGUGUUGGCAAGUUCACCCUUUAAAUUGGCUAAGGUUUCACACAACCCAACCAAAUUCCAACAUCCUGCAUUGGCUACAUCUUUGGCAAACUUGAUCUUGGCCUCCCAAACAGCCAUGACAGCAUUGGCCCUCGCUUCGGCGAUCACCUUCGUCAUCUCUACAUCAUGCUCCUCUUCUUUCUCAGCUUUAUCCUUGCUCAAAAUUUGCACUCAUUUAAAUGGAUCCUCGUUGGUCGCCUUCCACAGUUUCUCUUGCACCCUUAAAGAGUGUUCAACCUUUUCAGCUCGAAUCCUCAAGUCUGUGGAAACAUGAUCAAAGACCUGAAACAAGAAUAACAUUAGAAAGGUUGAAAGGCAAAACAUUACGAAUAAGAGUAACACUUACAACUUAAGAAAAAGAGACCAACUUCUGGAGUGCAUCCUCGACUCCAAGAUUUUCCAAGUUCAUGUUUGUAACUUCAGAAGUUUUUCUCUUCCGGGAUCCUGGAGUCUUCAGAGUCAGAUCAAUAUGGGACUUUUUUGAGGCAAUGGAGGUGCUAAUCUUUUCUUUCUUCAUGAGCAACUGGUAACAUGACAUGCGAAUAUAAGCAACCCGUAUCAAGAUUAGAAAGAGAGAAAUGAGCAUUGGUGCGUGUGGCUUUAGAUCAUGAGAAAACCAAAGAAAUCUUGGUUUGUAUCAAUCUCUCCAUGUUCAAAUAUGAGAAAUGGAUAGAUGACUUACGACUAGGGAUGAGCAAAAAGACCGGGGAACCGGCCGGAACCGGUCCCGGAACCGGCACCCGAUGGAACCGGUCGGGCCGGGACCUAUACUAUAAAUUUGUGAUUAUUUGGAACCGGGACCCGGAAAGAACCGGCUAUUGGAACCGGCCCAAAACCGGGAACCGGCCCGGCUAGAAAAC